rnacentral:lncRNA from 1 species
UGCCGGAAUCAGUCUAUAUUUUAGACCACAUGAGAACUGCCGGAAUCAGUCUAUAUUUUUCUUAAUUCUAUUGUUUUAAUGAAAAGGUCUUUUAUUUUUUGUCAUGGUAUUGUCAGUUUUAUAUCUUUUUUAUAUUUAAGGUGGGUUUUUUUAAUAUUUCGUGUUGUUGGAAUGCUGUCCCCCAAAUCCUCUUUUACUCAUUAACAAAGGCAAAUCCUAUCUUGUACAUGUACUGUACAUAUUAGAUUUAACUCCAGUGUUCAAUUUAAAAUGUUCUCUUUCAGGACUUUAAAAGUCAAGAGAUGUGGUAUGAAGCUAAUGAGAUAGAGGAUCAAUCAAAUACUAAAGGACAAGAUGUAAACAACUACAGGUAACAAACCAUGUGGCCUUCAAGAGU